rnacentral:rRNA from 1 species
UUUAGAGUUUGAUCCUGGCUCAGAUUGAACGCUGGCGGCAGGCCUAACACAUGCAAGUCGAGCGGUAACAGAUGUAGCUUGCUACACGCUGACGAGCGGCGGACGGGUGAGUAAUGCAUAGGAAUCUACCCGGUAGUGGGGGAUAACCUGGGGAAACCCAGGCUAAUACCGCAUACGUCCUACGGGAGAAAGGGGGCUCCGGCUCCCGCUAUCGGAUGAGCCUAUGUCGGAUUAGCUAGUUGGUGAGGUAAUGGCUCACCAAGGCAACGAUCCGUAGCUGGUCUGAGAGGAUGAUCAGCCACAUCGGGACUGAGACACGGCCCGAACUCCUACGGGAGGCAGCAGUGGGGAAUAUUGGACAAUGGGCGAAAGCCUGAUCCAGCCAUGCCGCGUGUGUGAAGAAGGCCUUCGGGUUGUAAAGCACUUUCAGCGAGGAAGAACGCCUAGUGGUUAAUACCCAUUAGGAAAGACAUCACUCGCAGAAGAGCACCGCA